CCUACGGGCGGCAGCAGUGAGGAAUAUUGGUCAAUGGACGCGAGUCUGAACCAGCCAAGUAGCGUGAAGGAUGACUGCCCUAUGGGUUGUACACUUCUUUUAUAUGGGAAUAAAACGUUCCACGUGUGGGAUUUUGUAUGUACCAUAUGAAUAAGGAUCGGCUAACUCCGUGCCAGCAGCCGCGGUAAUACGGAGGAUCCGAGCGUUAUCCGGAUUUAUUGGGUUUUAAGGGAGCGUAGGUGGAUUGUUAAGUCAGUUGUGAAAGUUUGCGGCUCAACCGUAAAAUUGCAGUUGAAACUGGCAGUCUUGAGUACAGUAGAGGUAGGCGGAAUUCGUGGUGUAGCGGUGAAAUGCAUAGAGAUCACGAAGAACUCCGAUUGCGAAGGCAGUUCACUAGACUGCGACUGACACUGAGGCACGAAAGUGUGGGUAUCAAACAGGAUUAGAUACCCUGGUAGUC
rnacentral:rRNA from 1 species